rnacentral:rRNA from 1 species
AGCGAACGCUGGCGGCAGGCCUAACACAUGCAAGUCGAACGAACCUUUCGGGGUUAGUGGCGGACGGGUGAGUAACACGUGGGAACGUGCCUUUAGGUUCGGAAUAACUCAGGGAAACUUGUGCUAAUACCGAAUGUGCCCUUCGGGGGAAAGAUUUAUCGCCUUUAGAGCGGCCCGCGUCUGAUUAGCUAGUUGGUUGAGGUAAUGGCUCACCAAGGCGACGAUCAGUAGCUGGUCUGAGAGGAUGAUCAGCCACAUUGGGACUGAGACACGGCCCAAAAUCCUACGGGAGGCAGCAGUGGGGAAUCUUGCGCAAUGGGCGAAAGCCUGACGAAGCCAUGCCGCGUGAAUGAUGAAGGUCUUAGGAUUGUAAAAUUCUUUCACCGGGGACGAUAAUGACGGUACCCGGAGAAGAAGCCCCGGCUAACUUCGUG